rnacentral:rRNA from 1 species
GACGAACGCUGGCGGCGUGCUUAACACAUGCAAGUCGAACGGAAAGGCCCUGCUUUUGUGGGGUGCUCGAGUGGCGAACGGGUGAGUAACACGUGAGUAACCUGCCCUUGACUUUGGGAUAACUUCAGGAAACUGGGGCUAAUACCGGAUAGGAGCUCCUGCUGCAUGGUGGGGGUUGGAAAGUUUCGGCGGUUGGGGAUGGACUCGCGGCUUAUCAGCUUGUUGGUGGGGUAGUGGCUUACCAAGGCUUUGACGGGUAGCCGGCCUGAGAGGGUGACCGGCCACAUUGGGACUGAGAUACGGCCCAGACUCCUACGGGAGGCAGCAGUGGGGAAUAUUGCACAAUGGGCGGAAGCCUGAUGCAGCAACGCCGCGUGCGGGAUGACGGCCUUCGGGUUGUAAACCGCUUUCGCCUGUGACGAAGCGUGAGUGACGGUAAUGGGUAAAGAAGCACCGGCUAACUACGUGCCAGCAGCCGCGGUGAUACGUAGGGUGCGAGCGUUGUCCGGAUUUAUUGGGCGUAAAGGGCUCGUAGGUGGUUGAUCGCGUCGGAAGUGUAAUCUUGGGGCUUAACCCUGAGCGUGCUUUCGAUACGGGUUGACUUGAGGAAGGUAGGGGAGAAUGGAAUUCCUGGUGGAGCGGUGGAAUGCGCAGAUAUCAGGAGGAACACCAGUGGCGAAGGCGGUUCUCUGGGCCUUUCCUGACGCUGAGGAGCGAAAGCGUGGGGAGCGAACAGGCUUAGAUACCCUGGUAGUCCACGCUGUAAACGGUGGGUACUAGGUGUGGGGUUCAUUCCACGGGUUCCGUGCCGUAGCUAACGCUUUAAGUACCCCGCCUGGGGAGUACGGCCGCAAGGCUAAAACUCAGAGGAAUUGACGGGGCCCCGCACAAGCGGCGGAGCAUGCGGAUUAAUUCGAUGCAACGCGUAGAACCUUACCUGGGUUUGACAUGGAUCGGGAGCGCUCAGAGAUGGGUGUGCCUCUUUUGGGGUCGGUUCACAGGUGGUGCAUGGCUGUCGUCAGCUCGUGUCGUGAGAUGUUGGGUUAAGUCCCGCAACGAGCGCAACCCUUGUUCACUGUUGCCAGCACGUUAUGGUGGGGACUCAGUGGAGACCGCCGGGGUCAACUCGGAGGAAGGUGGGGAUGACGUCAAGUCAUCAUGCCCCUUAUGUCCAGGGCUUCACGCAUGCUACAAUGGCUGGUACAGAGAGUGGCGAGCCUGUGAGGGUGAGCGAAUCUCGGAAAGCCGGUCUCAGUUCGGAUUGGGGUCUGCAACUCGACCUCAUGAAGUCGGAGUCGCUAGUAAUCGCAGAUCAGCAACGCUGCGGUGAAUACGUUCCCGGG